rnacentral:rRNA from 1 species
UAGAGAGAGACAUGCGCGCAUAUCAAUAAGCGGAGGAAAAGAAACUAACUAGGAUUCCCUCAGUAACGGCGAGUGAAGCGGGAAGAGCUCAAAUUUGAAAUCUUAAAGGUUUCCCUUGACGAAUUGUAGUUUAAAGAAGUGUUUUCUGUUGGAGUUUUGGUAAAAGUUCUUUGGAAUAGGACAUCAUAGAGGGUGAGAAUCCCGUAUUGACCUUUACUUUCAACUUUGUGAUACACUCUCAAAGAGUCGGAUUGUUUGGGAAUGCAGUCCAAAAUGGGUGGUAAAUUUCAUCUAAGGCUAAAUAUUGGCGAGAGAGCCGAUAGCGAACAAGUACCGUGAGGGAAAGAUGAAAAGAACUUUGAAAGGAGAGUUAAACAGUACGUGAAAUUGUCAAAAGGGAAGCGUUUGACACCAGUGUUGUUUUUCUGAAAAUCAAUUAAAGAACUGUUUAUGCUAAGUUGUUUAGACUUUAUCAGCUAACUGUUUAGUUUUGAGCUUUUCUUUAAUGCACUUUUCAGUUAACAAGUCAACAUCAAUUUCUUUUGCUGUAAAAAAGCUUGAGGAAGGUGGCUUGAGAUUCGUCUUAAGUGUUUAUAGCCUCUUGCCUAUGCAGUCGGAGAGAUUGAGGUCUGCAGCGUAGAUCCUUCGGGGCUAAAUGCAUUUGUGCUAAGUUAUAGCAUUUUAUAGACAACUUGUUGACUAUGAUUUGUCUUGUAGCUUACUCGCUUAUGUUAUUUUACCUACGCUUAGGAUGUUGAGCGCAUGUCUCUCUCU